GUUCUUAGUUUUUCUAGUUAAAAGUUAAGAGACGGUUUCUUAUAUUCCGCUAAGAACCUCACGCUUAGAAACUCCUAAUAAACAUGCUCUAAGUUUACUUAAUCCAGUGUACCGAACCAUAAAUGGCAAAUCCAGGAUGUUAAAUGAACUUUUGAUUUUAAAGAUUUAUGAGAAUGGGAAACGAAAUGCAUAAUCACGAAUUAUUCUGCCAUUGUGAAAUUAUAUACCGAUCACAUGCAGCCUCCAUUUUAUAAAGAGUUUCAAGCUUUCAAACCGUGUAAGUCUGGAAGAAUUAAUAUAUCAUAUACUGAAAAAUAACUCUUGAAAGUCGAGAGUAUUCGCGACACCUGCCGAAUGUAAGAAGACAUGAGAAGACAUGUCUUCCAUAAGAAUCUUUCUCCUACGGAUCCUUUGAUAGAGCCAAAUAUUAGAAGU
rnacentral:lncRNA from 1 species